UACGAAGGGUGCAAGCGUUACUCGGAAUUACUGGGCGUAAAGCGUGCGUAGGUGGUUUGUUAAGUCUGCUGUGAAAGCCCCGGGCUCAACCUGGGAAUGGCAUUUGGGACUGCAAGGCUUGAGUGCGGCAGAGGAGACUGGAAUUCCUGGUGUAGCAGUGAAAUGCGUAGAUAUCAGGAGGAAUACCGAUGGCGAAGGCAGGUCUCUGGGCUGACACUGACGCUCAUGCACGAAAGCGUGGGGAGCAAACAGG
rnacentral:rRNA from 1 species